UUGCGGCGUUAAUUGCUAUAAGAUUGAGUCUCGGUUAUUCUAUGUUGUGAUUAGAGUUGUUGUGGUUGCUACGUAAGCGGUUUGGAGCUGAGGUUGCAGAUGCCGCUGAUUGCGGGCCGAAAAGAAAGGGUUUCUUGAUGCGUUUGGUUUAUGAGUUUCGAUUAUUCGAGGAAAACGGAUUAAGAAG